UACGUAGGGUGCGAGCGUUAAUCGGAAUUACUGGGCAUAAAGCGUGCGCAGGCGGUUGUGUAAGACAGAUGUGAAAUCCCCGGGCUCAACCUGGGAACUGCAUUUGUGACUGCACAGCUGGAGUGCGGCAGAGGGGGAUGGAAUUCCGCGUGUAGCAGUGAAAUGCGUAGAUAUGCGGAGGAACACCGAUGGCGAAGGCAAUCCCCUGGGCCUGCACUGACGCUCAUGCACGAAAGCGUGGGGAGCAAACAGG
rnacentral:rRNA from 1 species